rnacentral:rRNA from 1 species
AAUCAACGCUGGCGGCGUGCCUCAGACAUGCAAGUCGAACGCGAAGUUUCCCUUCGGGGAGAAAGUAGAGUGGCGCACGGGUGAGUAACACGUAGGUAAUUUGCCUUUGGGUGGGGAAUAACUCAGGGAAACUUGAGCUAAUACCGCAUAAUGCAGCGGCUCGACAUCGAGACAGUUGUUAAAGCGGGGGAUUGGAGCAAUCCGACCUCGCGCCUAAAGAGAAGCCUGCGGCAGAUUAGCUAGUUGGUAAGGUAAUGGCUUACCAAGGCGACGAUCUGUAACCGGCCUGAGAGGGCGGUCGGUCACACUGACACU